rnacentral:rRNA from 1 species
UGCUAAGAGAUGGGGCUAUAUCGCAUCAGCUAGUUGGUAGGGUAAGGGCUCACCAAGGCGAUGACGCAUANCUGGUUUGAGAGGAUGAUCCCCCACACUGGAAGUGAGCCACGGUCCAGACUCUUACGGGAGGCAGCAGUGUGGAAUAUUGCACAAGGGGGGAAACCCUGAUGCAGCAACGCCGCGUGGAGGAUGACACUUUUAGGAGCGUAAACUCCUUUUAUAAGGGAAGAUAA